UAAAAGCCCUCUCUGGCAACACAACCACCUCUCUCUCUCUUGGAACUAUAGAUAAAAGCCCUCUCCGGCAACACAACCACCUCUCUCUCUUUUGGAACCUCUGGCCUAAUUUACGCCUUUUGUUUUCCAAUCCUAAAUCCAGGCUCAGAGAACUGACCUUGACCUGGCCUGUACAGUACGUCACUAAGUACAUUAGCUCGCGUGGGUCUCUUUGCAGUCAAUGCAAUCUGGGACUAGAGCACUCCUGCAGCCAUGGCAACCUCAUGCUGCGUGGUACCCAGCACAAGGGCUGCAGUGGGAUGACAUGUAAUACAUCUAAAAUAACAGCUUCUCAGUGGGAGAGAAGAUUGAUGAGCGAGAUCAAUUGAUGGUUGUUUUUGAAGAUUGGAGAUUACUGUUGGAAAUUAAUACAGCCUGCCAAAUUAGGAAGCGGUGAAAAAAAACAUUGAUACUGCAUCGGUGGUGGCUCUGAUCGCCCUGUACGCCAUCAUCAGGCACCUCAUCAAAGAGCUGAUUCAUGACCUAGCAGACUACCUGUUUGGGGUACAGCCUGACGAGGAGGUGGUUAACCCCUGGGAGUGUAAGGACAAGUUCCAGGUGGACUGGUGUCCAGAGACCAAUGCUGAGCUGGAGGCUAUGGUCAAGGCAGAGGAGAUCCACUGCCUGAUGGAGGGCAACAAGAACAUGCCUGCCAUCUGGGUCAUCUCAGAUGGACGUGAGCCACGGCCCCCACGCACGGGCCCCAGGGUCGCCUUCGGCAGGAUGAGCUAGCUACAAAGGGGCAGGCACACAGACUCUGACUGCUAGAGACAAGGCUGGGUACAGCAAUGUGGCAGAUGCACUGACGUUACCAGUCCAGAAGGAGUAUCGUGACAGUGAACAGGUUCUACACAACCCCAACCUCAGAGGCCUCCUGGGAUCAACAAGGAUUCAUAAUGUCUCUCCACAAAACUUUCCUGGUCUGUUUAUCACUGGCGGUUUGUGUUAACCAGGCCCAGAGUGGUAAGCCAAACGGAGGCGUACGGCUCACUACAUCCAAGGGUGGGACACUGCAGCCUUGGCUUGUUGGUCUGGCUGCUGUAGUGGGAUUCCUCUUCAUCGUCUUCGUCAUCCUUAUUGUACAAAGGCUUUUCUUCAAGAAGGAAAAGUACUCGUUACAUUUUGAAUGCUUAGCAGGACAGGAAAAUGGUCAAAUUCAACGCACUUAUCAAGAGAACAUCCCUGGUCAUCCCUACUGCCUCAGGCCCACUAAAUAUAAAUGCUAUGUUUGUAAAUAUGUCUGAGUGUUGGAGCAUGCCCCUGGUUCUCUGUAAAUUAAAUAAAAAACAAGUCAUAUGGUGCUGUUUGGUUUGCUUUAAUAUAAGCAAUUUGAAAUUAUUUAUACUUUUUAUACUUAUGUAAAUUUGAGCAAUUACAUUUACUUUUGAUACUUAUGUAUAUUUAAAACCAAAUACUUCUAGACUUUUACUCAAGUAGGAUUUUACUGGGUGACUUUCACGUGAGGCAUUUUUUUAAAUAAAAUAUGACAUAUGGGUACUUUUCCACUACUGCCUGACAUAAUCUUUUCAUACUUUAAAAUUGUGACCUCCUGUUGUCCUUAACUAACUUACCAGGAUCUCACAAGCAAGUGUAUUUUCUUAUGAAAUGUUCAACUGCUGCAGUCCGAGACAGAAGGCUAUCAAACUACACACGCUCAUUGUAAAGCCCGUGUUUUUGUCUUGCAGAGAGGAAGAUGGUGGUUUGUAUGAGAACACAGCUGUAGAAAUGGAAGCUGGCAAGGCCAGUGAGGUUAAACAAACCAGCCUAUAGAGAGACCACCAAACCAUCCAGGGAGGGGACAGGCUCAGACACCAGUUUCCACGCUCGCAUUGGGUUUCUUACUUCUCCUGCACAUGCAUUUCUUUCAACUCUAUGAUUGUCAUAUCCUAUGUUUGUGCAAUUAAACAAAUGAAGAAAAUAUAGAUAUUGUCCUCAACUUUGCCUGUCAACUGUGCAAACAAGAUAAUUCUGAACAGGAUCUGUUUUAUUGUUGGCUAAAUUGUUUAUACUGUAAUGACUGAUGUUGAUGGUAACAAUAGUGAUUUUGUCUCAUUGAGUAACCAAUGCUUUUACAGUGUCACUGUAACAGAAACUAGUGAUUUUACUUAUACUACCACUAGAUGGAACUGGAUUCUCUUUUUCCAUUUAGAACUCACUAGACCUACAGUACUACACAAAUUGUUAAGGGGAGAGUGGAGUAAGUUGAGCCAUAGGGGUAAGUUGACCAAACAUUUAGGAAGAGGUCAUCAUAUCACGGAGUCUGAAGGAUGAAACCACAUGGAAAAAGUGGUAAGCAAGUCAGCUCCAACAAAACAGAUUUUUACCAAGUCAAAUGAAUUGAUUGUGUUAAAGGUUUCAUGAUGUAUCUAAACCAGAUUGUUCUAUAUCAGUCGGGGUCUCUAUAAGCUUAACUGUGAGAUCCUAAACCUAGCAUGACAGUGCAUCCUUGGAGCUGUGUGGGCUAAUAUAGUCAAAAUGUUUGCCAUGGGGUAAGUUGAGCCAAUGGCAAGUUGAGUAAAUUCCCAGACCUAAUGCAAGGCAUUAUCACUGAGGUAACAACAGGCCUAUGUUAAAAGUGUUUUGUUAGGUGUUAAACCUGUGUUGAAGAUGCUUCGAAGACAAAGAAGCGAUUGUGUUGAAUUGCGUUUGGGAAAUAAAGAUAGAGAUGGGUUUUAAAAAGGUCGUGGAAAUAUUUCAUUUGGUACAUUCAUUUGUAGGCGGCUUAAUUUGCCUGGGGUAAGUUGUACCAAGAGACUUUUUUUGGACAAGCUAUGUUUUCAAAAUUGUAAUGUUUACAUUAAUUCUGAUUAUUUUCAGGGAUACACGACAUCCUGAAAUAUAUGUAGAUAUCUUUGUUAGAAAUAAUACUAUAUUUCCUUUGACAGUCAUGCUGAAUGUAAAAAAUGGCUCACUCUCCCCUAGUCAAUUUUAAAUUGAGAAUAAAAAAAGUGUAAAUUGUGAAGCUAUAGCUGA
ensembl:lncRNA